GAGUUUGAUCGUGGCUCAGGAUGAACGCUGGCGGCGUGCUUAACACAUGCAAGUCGAACGAAGCGCCUUAUUUGAUUUUCUUCGGAACUGAAGAUUUGGUGACUGAGUGGCGGACGGGUGAGUAACGCGUGGGUAACCUGCCCUGUACAGGGGGAUAACAAUCAGAAAUGACUGCUAAUACCGCAUAAGACCACAGCACCGCAUGGUGCAGGGGUAAGAACUCCGGUGGUACAGGAUGGACCCGCGUCUGAUUAGCUGGUUGGUGAGGUAACGGCUCACCAAGGCGACGAUCAGUAGCCGGCUUGAGAGAGUGAACGGCCACAUUGGGACUGAGACACGGCCCAAACUCCUACGGGAGGCAGCAGUGGGGAAUAUUGCACAAUGGGGGAAACCCUGAUGCAGCAACGCCGCGUGAGUGAAGAAGUAUUUCGGUAUGUAAAGCUCUAUCAGCAGGGAAGAAAGUGACGGUACCUGACUAAGAAGCCCCGGCUAACUACGUGCCAGCCGCCGCU
rnacentral:rRNA from 1 species